rnacentral:rRNA from 1 species
UGGGGAAUAUUGCACAAUGGGCGCAAGCCUGAUGCAGCCAUGCCGCGUGUGUGAAGAAGGCCUUCGGGUUGUAAAGCACUUUCAGCGAGGAGGAAGGUGGUGAGCUUAAUACGCUCAUCAAUUGACGUUACUCGCAGAAGAAGCACCGGCUAACUCCGUGCCAGCAGCCGCGGUAAUACGGAGGGUGCAAGCGUUAAUCGGAAUUACUGGGCGUAAAGCGCACGCAGGCGGUUUGUUAAGUCAGAUGUGAAAUCCCCGGGCUCAACCUGGGAACUGCAUUUGAAACUGGCAAGCUAGAGUCUCGUAGAGGGGGGUAGAAUUCCAGGUGUAGCGGUGAAAUGCGUAGAGAUCUGGAGGAAUACCGGUGGCGAAGGCGGCCCCCUGGACGAAGACUGACGCUCAGGUGCGAAAAGGCGUGGGGCAGCAAACAGGAUUAGAUACCCCUGGUAGUCCACGCUGUAAACGAUGUCGAUUUUGGAGGUUGUGCCCUUGAGGCGUGGCUUCCGGAGCUAACGCGUUAAAUCGACCGCCU